rnacentral:rRNA from 1 species
ACGGGUGCGGAACACGUACGCAACCUUCCUUCAAGCGGGGGAUAGCUUUCGGAAACGAAAAUUAAUACCCCAUAGCAAUGUCUGAGGGCAUCUGAGGACAUUUAAAGAUUUAUCACUUGAAGAUGGGCGUGCGCCUGAUUGGGUAGUUGGCGGGGUAACGGCCCACCAAGCCUACGAUCAGUAACUGGUGUGAGAGCACGACCAGUCACACGGGCACUGAGACACGGGCCCGACUCCUACGGGAGGCAGCAGUAAGGAAUAUUGGUCAAUGGACGCAAGUCUGAACCAGCCAUGCCGCGUGGAGGAUGAAGGUCCUCUGGAUUGUAAACUUCUUUUAUCGGAGAAGAAACCCCAGAUUUCUAUUUGGGUUGACGGUACCCGAUGAAUAAGCACCGGCUAACUCCGUGCCAGCAGCCGCGGUAAUACGGAGGGUGCAAGCGUUAUCCGGAUUCACUGGGUUUAAAGGGAGCGUAGGUGGGCUGGUAAGUCAGUGGUGAAAUCUCCGGGCUUAACUCGGAAACUGCCGUUGAUACUAUCAGUCUUGAAUGUUGUGGAGGUAAGCGGAAUAUGUCAUGUAGCGGUG